GUCUAUAUACGGCUAAAUUUUCCACCCACGCCGUGCGACCGAAACUCAGACUUCACUUCAAGAUAGUCAUUGACCCCGGAUAACCAACCAUGAGUCUCUGCCUUCUUCUGUUUGUGGCUCUGGCAGCUGCGUCUCCUG